rnacentral:rRNA from 1 species
UGCAAGUUCGAAACGAACCUUUCGGGUCGUGGCGGACGGGUGAAGUAACGCGUGAGAUUCUGCCCUCAGGAGGGGGAUAACAGUUGGAAACGACUGCUAAUACCCCAUAUGCCGAGAGGUGAAACGAAUUUUUGCCUGGGGAUGAGCUCGCGUCUGAUUAGCUUGUUGGUGGGGUAAAAGCCUACCAAGGCUUCGAUCAGUAGCUGGUCUGAGAGGACGAUCAGCCACACUGGGACUGAGAUACGGCCCAGACUCCUACGGGAGGCAGCAGUGGGGAAUUUUCCGCAAUGGGCGCAAGCCUGACGGAGCAACGCCGCGUGAGGGAUGAAGGCCUUUGGGCUGUAAACCUCUUUUCUCAAGGAAGAAGAUCUGACGGUACUUGAGGAAUAAGCCACGGCUAAUUCCGUGCCAGCAGCCGCGGUAAUACGGGAGUGGCAAGCGUUAUCCGGAAUUAUUGGCGUAAAGCGUCCGCAGGCGGCCGUUUAAGUCUGUUGUUAAAUCGUGGAGCUCAACUCCAUCACGGCAAUGGAAACUGUUCGGCUUGAGUAUGGUAGGGGCAGAGGGAAUUUCCGGUGUAGCGGUGAAAUGCGUAGAUAUCGGGAAGAACACCAGUGGCAAAAGCGCUCUGCUGGGCCAUUACUGACGCUCAUGGACGAAAGCCAGGGAGCGAAAGGGAUUAGAUACCCCUGUAGUCCUGGCCGUAACGAUGAACACUAGAUGUUGGAAUCGACCCCUCCGGUGUCGUAGCUACGCGUAGUGUCGCUGGAGUACGCACGCAGUGUGAACUC